GAUGAACGCUGGCGGCGUGCCUAAUACAUGCAAGUCGAGCGAACAGACGAGGAGCUUUCUCCUCUGACGUUAGCGGCGGACGGGUGAGUAACACGUGGAUAACCUACCUAUAAGACUGGGAUAACUUCGGGAAACCGGAGCUAAUACCGGAUAAUAUAUUGAACCGCAGGGUUCAAUAGUGAAAGACGGUUUUGCUGUCACUUAUAGAUGGAUCCGCGCCGCAUUAGCUAGUUGGUGAGGUAACGGCUUACCAAGGCAACGAUGCGUAGCCGACCUGAGAGGGUGAUCGGCCACACUGGAACUGAGACACGGUCCAGACUCCUACGGGAGGCAGCAGUAGGGAAUCUUCCGCAAUGGGCGAAAGCCUGACGGAGCAACGCCGCGUGAGUGAUGAAGGUCUUCGGAUCGUAAACCUCUGUUAUUAGGGAUGAACAAAUGUGUAAGUAACUAGGCACGUCUUGACGGUACCUAAUCAGAAAGCCACGGCUAACUACGUG
rnacentral:rRNA from 1 species